rnacentral:lncRNA from 1 species
UCUAAUAUAAGCUAAGAAUUUCAUAUCCCUCGUACUCGUGAGGCUCAAACCCCUUUUAAUGGCUUUUGUUAUAUUUCAAUCACACCAAAAAAAUAAAAAAAUAAAAAUAGCAGGGGAGGGAAUAAACCUGAAAUUGCUUUGAAUUUUUUUUAGAAGAAAAUAGCAGCUACAUGGACAGAAACGACCUACAGCUACGACCAGAUUUCAAAUCGGACAAAAUCUCAAAUACAAACUAGGAAGGAAUCUCAAAUCGGCAAGCGAACCUCGAUUUAACUGAACUCCAUUUUUAGAACUAAAAUCCGAAAUUGAAAGUGAAGAAAGUAGAACAUUUUUGUAUAUUUUUCUUUUUGAAAUUAAAAGAAGAAAAUUAAAAUCUGAAAAAUCUAAAUUACUAUUCUUUGAGUAAAAGGUAAUGGAGAUUUUUGAAUGUAUAAGAAGGUGAUGGUCAGUGGUAAAAAUGGUUAUUUUUGUCGGCGGUGGAGGAUGGCUGGAGGCGGCGAUGGGUGAUGGGCAGCAGAAUCGUCUUAGGAUUGAGUGGCUCGUUCCUCGAGUGUGUUGUUGCUGAUGGGUGUCUCUUAGCUUGAGGGAUUUUAGGCAGAAGUUUCUGGAGAGGAAGGGGUUAAAGGCGUGAAUGAUUCUUGGAGAAGAAGCCCAAA